rnacentral:rRNA from 1 species
UGAGGAAUAUUGGUCAAUGGGCGAGAGCCUGAACCAGCCAAGUAGCGUGCAGGAUGACGGCCCUAUGGGUUGUAAACUGCUUUUAUGUGGGGAUAAAGUGCGUGACGUGUCAUGCAUUGCAGGUACCACAUGAAUAAGGACCGGCUAAUUCCGUGCCAGCAGCCGCGGUAAUACGGAAGGUCCGGGCGUUAUCCGGAUUUAUUGGGUUUAAAGGCAGCGUAGGCUGUCUAUUAAGCGUGUUGUGAAAUUUACCGGCUCAACCGGUGGCUUGCAGCGCGAACUGGUCGACUUGAGUAUGCAGGAAGUAGGCGGAAUUCAUGGUGUAGCGGUGAAAUGCUUAGAUAUCAUGACGAACUCCGAUUGCGCAGGCAGCUUACUGUAGCAUAACUGACGCUGAUGCUCGAAAGUGCGGGUAUCAAACAGG